AAUAUGAAAUAUAUUAGAUCGUACUUAAAAGUUUACAAAAAUUGAUCAAUAUUUAUUUUAAACCCAAUAAAUAUGAUCAUGGGAGAAAAAUAUGUGUAUCGGUAAGUUUUUUCAAAUUGUGCGAAAGAUGAAAAAAUUCACGGUUUCGGUUAUCGCAACUGUUACGUUACAGCCUUUAAACCCCACAACCGCAACCGCGCCACCGCCACCAUUACGGCGACCGCAACUGUUUUUCAGAACCUUGCCAAAAUGUGUAAUAUCUACCACCAUGCCGUUUUAAGGAUCGGUGAAAUAACUGUAACUGCAAUACUCUUCUCAAACUCUCCAUGCUCAUAGCCUUUGGACAUCUAUUAAUCUUUUGCAAGUGUUAUGUUUUAGCGUGUGCAUAUUGAAGCCACAUUUUGCAAAAUACUAUUUCUAUCUAUGGAAAUUAGUUACCCUGCUAAUGUCUUUGAUUCUAUUGAGUUUCUAUUGCCCUAUACAGAAAUUUGUGUAUUCUUUAUUUUUCUUUUUUUCUUUAAAACACUCUUCUUUUGAUUUCCUAUUUUCAGCUUUUUGUUAGGCCUAUUUGAUAUUUGUUGCGGUCAAUAAUUUGAAAUUCCCUCAUUUAAGAACAAUGAAUUUAUGCUCCUUCUAUUCUUUUGUUUAUAUUGUAUAAUGAUACAUAGUAUAAAACAUCACAUGUGAUAUAUAACUUCUUAUUGACAAUUAUACUAUCUCAAACAAUUAUUACUUACUAUUAAGCUUUUCGAUACUGUUCCUUAAGGGCAGGCUGCCAGUUUUGCAACAACCACCCCCCCCCCCCCCCA